GAGAUAAGGGAGAAGCAGAGGCGUUGAUACAAAACACAAUGGUAUGUAUUAUAUAUUCAUUCUUGUAUUGAACUUUGAACUCUGUUACUUGUACGAUUUUUUUGAUAGCUUCUUUGACAAAUGGUGAAGUAGCAUGCACCUUAGCGCUCGGUUUGAACUUCAUAAAUUCAACAAUUAUGCUACAUGUAUAUCUUUUUUGACAUCAUUUUUGAUAUUGUGCCAUGAAGCGACACAUAGUUGGACAGUUUAAAAACACAAUUUCUUGCCCAACAGUUUUUGAAUUCCAAAGGAGCGUACACAAACAUCUAAACCAAAGGAUGUAUACUUAGCAUUAAUUUAAAUUCAAAAUAAAGGGCUAAGGUGCAUGCCACCUCAACAUCCAUCGAACUUUCUAUCUGUACAAGUAACUUAAUUCUUGAACUUUUAAGUUUGUAUCUAAUUCGUGUAGGUUAUAAUUAAAAAUAAAAACGUUAUUUCUAUUUAAUUAAAAGAUAUAGAGACAUUUGUUCUUACAACUGACGAUGGAUUUUGUGCAGAGCAAGAGCAAGUGGAUACCAGCGCAGCAGCUUAUUAUUCAUAAAGAGAAAGAAGGAUGGAUAUCAACUCAUCCUCUAGGCUGCGCAAGGUUCUCUCUCGCUCUCUCUCUAUAUGUUGAUCAUUACUUUUCCUUUAUCUAAUGAAGUAAAUAAGGUUAUCCCAUCUCUAACAAUAUAGAUGAGGUGGUUUAUGUACAUGUACAAACGCUUAUUCAUACAAUUAUAAAUAAUAUGUAAAUUUCAUUGAAGAUGAUGAUGAGCAAUUUAUAUUUUGGUUGCAUAUAUGUGUAGCAGUGUGGUGGUCGAGCUUCGAAAUGCGACUUUGCUGGAUAUUGGUGGGAAGAUAGAUGCAGCAAACUUGGUUAAAAAUAUAUGUUAUGAUGCGUAUCUUGUGUUCAUGCUCAAAGAAGGGUCAAAGGGCCUAGAGCGAGCCAAAGCAAUAGUUAGGUUUGCUGAGGACAUAGCUCCAGGAAUAGAUCAUCAUGCUAUCGAUGUAUUCCUCGUCAAUAAAAUAGGAGCUGGCAUUGGAUGGGUUCCACGACCUCUGAACUAUGGGUGGAAGGAGAUUAAACUUGGAGAUUUCACCCCUGGCGAGGAAGAUACAGGUCAGGUAGAAAUUUGACUCUUUGAAAAGGAGGAACGCAAUCCGAAGUCUGGUCUUAUCGUCAAAGGAAUUGAAGUUCGUCCGAAUUGAACAAAACAAGUAUUUGUCCUAAUAUGAUGCUAUACUAUUAUAAAUAAACCUGACAAGUGCUAUUUCACAUGUGUGUUUCCAUGGUUUUCCCGUGGGUAUAAAACUUGUUUGGGUACUGAACUAAUCUAAUAGCUUUUAUUUAGUCAUCAAUCUUUUGCGUUCUCUUUCGGUGUUUUGGGUGCCCAUUACGGGGAUUUUUUUAAAAGGUAAUUAACACAAAACGUUAAUACCUUUUAAUAUUAUCGUGCAAAAAAAUCCAUACCGUUCACUUUUUUAUCAUUUUCACCUUUAUUUUCACAUUUCAUUGCAAAAAUCAUCAUUUUUAUCUAUUUUUUCAAUUAAAAGCUGUGAAAUGACAAAUUUAACCUCUUAUCCAAAUAAGGCCCCGUUUGAAUCCAUUGAUAGUCUCUUAUUUUACACAGCAAAUUUUUUAGCAUAGUAAAAUCAUUAAUUAACAUUUGAAAAAGCAACUGACAAGUUGAACAAAAGUCAAACAUCCGCCCGUUUAAAAUAUUAAUUUCCCUCUUUGCCUUAGUUUGUCAUUGAAAAUUCCUUAUGUUAGGGGCAAAAUUGGAAGGUACAUAUCAUAGCAUUAAGAAACAAUUAAUUUUUUUUUUGUCUUACAUGAAUUCGUUGAAAAGCAGAUUUUACUGUUGCAGAAAAUAAAUUUGAGUAAAUUAAAGGCCGUCAAACAGCCGCUAAAAGAAAAGAAAAAAUAUAAACCUAAUUGCAACUAUAGUCUCAAAUUUUCAAAAAAAUUACAAAUGGGUCACAAAUAUAUAAUUAAAUAUAAAAACAAAAAAAAGUACUUCAUCUUCUUCCUCCUUUCUGCUAAAUAGAUGGCAUCGCAAGGCACAUUAGGAUAAGGAAAAUUCAAUAGAAAUCAUAACGCACACAAAUAUAAGCAAAACUUGACACAAAAUUAAGCUGUUCUUUAACUAGUUUGAAUAGUUAAUUAGCAUAAUUAUGGAACUUAAGACUAAGAAAUCAUCUUUUGUGGUUCAUUUUCACAUGAAAACACCCAAUUUCUGAAAUCUAUAUACAGAAGCACAAAUCUAGCACCAUAAGCAAAUGGAAACGGGGGUUGUUUCAAGCCCAAAAAUAUUCCCGAAAUCAAAAAUCACAGGGAAUUAUCUCAAACUAUAGAAAAACAAUCAAUAACAAACAACUGAGACAAACCCACUUCGAUUCUCACAACAGAAUCAAAAUUAAAACAAGAAAAAUCAAGACUUGCACUCCAAAAACAAAAAAGGAAAAGAAAGUGGAUAAAAGUACCUCAAUAAUUAGUAGACGUCGAGUUUUGGAAAAACAAACGAAAACACAAUUUUUGGAUUCUCUAAAAGCAAUUUUCUUUUUACGAAUCAAGCUUUAUUAUUUUUUUUCCUUUUGAGCUAUAUUUUUAUUUGGAGGAUUUUUUUUUCUCUUUUUCGUGACUGUUUGGGCAUGCUUGAGAGUUCUGGACACCGUUUACAUGGUUUUUUAAAGGGUAAUCACAUGUGAGGAGGUGGAUAAUGGUGGAGAAAGGAGGAAGAAGAUGAAGUGAUUUUUUUUUAAUUAUAUAUUGGUGACUUAUUUGUAAUUUUUUGAAAAUUUGGAAUCAAUGUUGCAAUUACUUUUUUCUUUUCUAUUUAUUUUAUUUAAUUAGGAGGGUAUCAAGGCCGGCCCUAAGUCAAGGCCAACUAGGCAAUGGCUUAGGGCCUCACAUCUAAUGGGGGACUCCAAAUGAAAACCAUGGUGAAAGCCCAAUUAAUCUAGUAUAAAUUUAAAAGAUGGAUUAAUUAAAAAAUUUUUCAACAAUAAUUUAUUUGGUCGAUUCUAACUUAGUUCGAUAUUAUUCAAAAUAUUUUUUUCUCAAAUUUAAUAUACACAAUUAAUUACAAGCUAUCAAACGAGUCUAAUAUUAUUAUAGUAAUAUGAUUUAAUUUAAAAGCAAUAUUACACGUUCAGUAGUUUACUUUAAUAAGUUAUAAUUUAAAUUUGAUUUAUCCAAAAUAAUUUUUUUCAUGAGUGCAUAAUGUCCAUAGUAUGAUUUAUUGAAAAUAACUUGAAUUCUCUAUUUUAUCUUUUGAAUCAUACCAAGUCUUUGUUUAAACUAGAAAUAUAUGAUUUAUUUAAAUAUUUAAGUAUUUUUAUACAUGUAAAAAAAUUUUAUGUUUAAGGGCCUCAUAAUAAUGAGUUGUUUAGAGUCUCAAAAUUCUCAGGACCGGCCUUGGAGGGUAUGUUCAUCAUUUCAUAAUUUUUAAUUGAGAAAAUAGAUGAAAAUGAUUUUUUUGCAAUGAAAUGUGGAAAUAAUGGUGAAAAUACCCAAAAAAUGGAAGGUAUGGACGUCUUGCACAGUAAUAUUUAAAGGUAAGGGAUGUUUUGUGCUAGUCAUUCCUUUUUUAGACUCUGAUUUCUUUUGCUCAUGAGGAAUCUAAUUUUGGUUGAUUUUUAAAGCAAUCCAUCUUAUGUCUGAAAGUACUUAUCAAUGAUUUUAAAAGUUUAUAUAUAUAUAUAUACACACACACUUAAAAGUAACAUUUUAUAUUUUAAAGCGAAUUUUAUCUUAUUAAUAGUAUAGUUUAUUUCUAAGCAUUUUGAUGCAAAAUUGAAUAUUUAUCUUAAAAGUAAUUUUUCACUUAUGAGUAAAUUUUUAAUAAUAAGGUAAUUUUUUAGUUUUUGUACUUUUAUUUACAAGUUAUUUUAAACAAAAUAUGUGGAUUGAGAAUAAUUAUUUUAUAGACAGUAAAAUUGGAAGAAAAUUAUAUAUAUGUAUAUAUAUAUAUAAUAUCUUGAACAUGUUUUUCAAGUUUUGAGAUUUGAGAUUUCAUUUCCUUGACUUCAAAUUGAAGAUCAGGAAUUAAAGGUUUAGAACCUUUUGAAAGUUCCUUUUGAGCACGACGAAGAAUAUUUGUAAUAUUGAUGUCAUCAAAAUUUUCUUUUAAUGUAGAGGAGGAAAGCAAAGAUGAAAAUUUAUCUUUGCGUUUAGGAUUAUCAAUCAUAUCUAUGAUAUUUUGAAUAAUUUCUUCCUCUCAUGUUAAGACAUUUAUAGUUUUACAAUCACAAAUUUCUUUAUCAUUUGAAGAAGUACAAGAGUCAGAAUUUUGAGUAGAUUCAUAAUCCGAAUCUUCUUGAUUGAGAAAAACUUGUUCUAAUUCAGAGUUAGACUCAUUAUCAGAACUAGAUUGAAUAAGAUUAAGAAGCUGAGUUUUAGUAUCUUCAUCAACUUGAAGAGUACUAAUUUUUUCUUUGAGAGGACAUCUAUUGGAAUAAUGACCGGUUUUGUUACAUUUCCAACAUGUAACUUUUGAAUUUUUCUUUUGAAAAUCUUUUGUAAAUUUUCUUUUUGAAAAUUUCUUUUUAUGAAAAUUUUCUUCAGGAGAAUAUUUUCUUUUUGAAAAUUUUUUCUUAUGAAAAUUUUUUCUUGCUUUUGAAGAAGGAGAUAAAACUUUCUCAAAUCCAUAUUGUUCACAAAAAGAUCCAAGUUCAUUUUGAGUUUGAGACUUUUCUGCUUUCAAUUUAGCUUUGAGUUUUAAGUCAUUACAUAAAUUGAGAGCUUAAUGAAAUUGAUAAUUUCACCAUAAGUAAGAGUUUGAAGGUCAUCAUUUUCUUCGAAAAUUGAAUUUUUCACUUUUUCGGCGAAAAGUUUUGGAAGUCCUGAAAUAAAUUUUUCUUUCCAAAAAGAUUGUUGACAAUCAGAUCUCUGCAUGAUACGAGAUAAAAACAUAUCUUUGUACCAUCUAAAAUCUUGAAGUUUUGGACAUCUUAAAUUCAUAAGAAUGUCAUUUUGAAAUUGUAUAUAAUUUUCUGGAGUUCCAAUAAAAUGUUUGAUAAUAGUUAAUCCAAGAAUAGAAUAACUAUCAUUGAUAGGUUCUCCAUUUUCAUUUGUAAUAAUACUAUUAUUUUCAUCACGUUUAACAGUAGAAAAAAUAAUAUUUUUUGAAGUAGAUGAGAGAUAAUUUUCCCACCAUUGACCUAGUUGUCCUGUAAAUCCAAGAACAAUAUUGUUUGUGGCUUGAAGUCUUGUAGCUCCUUUUGCCAAAAAGGUUUUGUAACAAAUAGUCAUUUGUCCCAAUAGAUUGAUAAUUUGAUGUUCAGUAAGACCAUUAAUGUUCCAUUCCACACCGGAAGAGCCAUCGUAUGAUCUUUGAACAGGCAACUUUUCUUCAAAAAGUUGAUCUGAAAAUGAAGGGCGAGGAUAGAAUUUUGGAAUAUUUUGAUAGUCAGAAUUUCUAAGUUUGUUGAUUUGAUCAAGUUUUUCAUCAACAAAUUGUUUCUCAAUUUCAUCAAAAUCGAUUGUAUUGAUAUUUUUUGAAACAUGAAAAUUUUUCAGUUGAUUAACAAGUUCUGAAAGAACUUCAUUUUCUGUUGAAAGAGAUUGAGAUUUUCCAAAAGUAGGAAUAAUAUCAUCAUUUUUAAAAAUAGGAGAAGAUGAAGAUGGUUUUGAAAUAUUCUUAUCUUUACUUUUACUGUCUCGAUAUUCUUUAAAAGAAUCUUUUGGAACAGUAGAAGUUUCAGAUUCAGAAUUUGAUUCAAUACGGUUAAGUUGAGAACAAACAGAUUGAAGAACAAUAUUUGUAAAAUUGUUCUGAGCUUGAAUAUUUUUGAUAUCCUUAGCAACAAAUUGAGAUUCAUCAAGUCGUUCUUUGGAAUUUGGAACAAGUUUGAGAGGAGAUGCAAGAAUUUUAGUUUUACCAUGGGUAAAUGAAAUAUCUUGUAAAGGAGGAUGAAUUGCUUGGAAAGUAUUUCCGUCGGGUGUUUUCCAAGAUUUUGAAGAGUUUUUUGUAGUAAAAAUUUGAGAUUUUUCUGGUUGUUUUCCAAAAAAUUUGAUUUGAAUCCAAUCAUAAAAACUUAAUUCUGAAGAAGAUUCAAAAUAAUCUUCCCAAAAUUGUUCUUUUUCUUUUGAAGAGAAUUGAUGUCUAAAAAUUUUUCGAAAAUUUUUUACAUGAAUAUCUUGAUCAUAUUUGAACUCUUUUCUUCUAUCAAUUUCAGAAGAAAUUACAUUGCAUUGAUGAUCAAGAUCAGAAUUUGAAGGAGGAACCAUAUCAGAGAAGCUAGGAGACUCUGGUUGUUCAGAAUCUUCUUCUUUUUCUUUAGGUUGAUAAAAAGGAUUUGGAAUAAUAGGAGUACAAUCAACUCCUUUGAAAGAUGUUGAAGUAGAAUUUCUUGAAGGUUGGAAAGAAUUCUUAGUUCUUUUUUCAGAUCUAUAUGAUCUAGAAGAGUUAGAUCUUGGAAUUCUAGAUGAAGAUCCUUGAAAGAUAACUUUAGCUUUUCCAUCAGAAAAAGUUAAAAUUUCAUUAGGAAUAGAAUUUGUUUGAGCUGGAGUUGGAACUUGAAUAUUGUCAAAAUUCCAUUCUAAAUUCCUGGAUUUAAGAUUCCUAGGAAUUUUUUUAGGAAUUUCUACACUUGAAUGAAAAUGAUUGACUUCAACCAAAAGACUUUCUUCUUUUGGAGAAGAUCUAAGAGCACCAAUAUUGAGUUGAGUGUUCAUAAGUUUGUAAUAAAUUCUGUAAAUAACAGCAAAAGCAUUUGAGCGACUAUCAAACUCAAGGUUUCUAGUCUGAAUGUGAAGAUUUAGAGCAUUUAGAACUGCUCCAUCUGAAAGUUUUAUUGAAAAAUUUGGAUAACAGUUUGAAAAAACUGGACCACCUUCAAGAUUUGAUUCAAGUAAUGAAAGUAGAGAGUUUUUAAAAUUGAGAUGUCUCUUGUCUCUAAGAGUAAUGAGAAUCGGAAUAUCUAAACCAAGUCUAAACAAAGGUUUAACAGCAAUUUGCACUAAACCAACACGAAGGUAUUUAAAUAUCUUUCUAUGAGAUUCAAUUGAUUCUUUUGUAAAUAAAUUGAUGAAUGCAUUUGAACUAUUAAUUGAAACAGUUGGUUCAAAAGUUUUGAUAACAUAAUUUUGAGUGAAAUCAAAUUUUCCUAUUUCAUAGAUAGAAUGUUUAUCUAUCUUUGGAAUAGUCCAAUUUUGGAGUUGUUGUUCAAUUUUGGCAAUUUGAAAUUCAUUUGAGUUAAAAUCAUUUGAUGCAGAUGCUGAUGAAUUUGAUGAAUUGUCAACUUCUUCUUCUUCAUUUUGAUAAACAUUUGAACUAUUUUCAUUUUGAUUUUGUGAUCUAUUUCUAGACCUAGAUCUCCUAAGCCAAUUAGAAACCGAAGACAUAAAUGAAAAUAAUGUAAUCAAAAUAAAAUUACACAAUAAAAACAGCAAAAUAGGAUAAAUAGGAUUCUCACCAAGCCUACAAACGGGACCACCCAACGGGACCAACGUCUACAGGGCCGACCAAUGUCUAUUCAGCAGACAUCCAGGUUUAAACCAAACUCACCUAUUUUGAACAGUGUCUAUAAUGUAAGAUUAAACUAAUCUCACUUCUUUUCACUAAUGGCUCUGAUACCAUAAAAGACCCAGGGGGAUAGGAGAUGAAAUAGAACGACUGAAAUUAAUGAAAAUAGAUAAUUUUAUUGAAAAUUGAAGAAGAUUAAAUAUUACAAAGAUAAAUUGAAGAGUAUAUGAGAAACAAAUUUCAGAGAAAAAUAAAACUUCUUCUUGCUGAAUUCGCUCUGCCUUGAAAUGAAGUCUAGAACUCCUUUUAUAAUGAAAAGCGGACUUAAAAUUUCUUUCAUUUUGAAGAAAGAAUCUUGAGAGGAGUGGACGACAACAUAAUGAAGCAUCUUGAAAAGCAGUAUCAAAUUUAGUCAAAAGUUUCCAACUUUUGACUUCCUUUAAUAAAGAUAAUCUUUCUCUUUAUUUAAAGGGAUAUUGAUGUCUGACACAAAGUUGAUGGAAAUCUUGACUGAAAUUACACCAUAUUUGCAUAGUUAAAAUUAAGUAAUUGUUUAUAAUUUUUUUUUUUCAAGAUAUUGUACUUUAGCCUUAAAAGUCCAAAAAAUAAGUAAACGAAGUGAACUACAGGGAAAUUUCAAGAUAACAACCAAUCUGAUAACGGAUGGUUUAUGUACUUUUAUAAUUUUUUUUUUUAGCUUAAAAAAUAAACUUAAAAUGUUAAAAUGGGAGUCUGUGAUCCUUUUUCCAAAAGAAAUAUGGAAUGGAUAUAUGUAUGCGUGUGUGUGUGUGUGUGUGUAGUGGGUCACAAGUUGACCGUUUAAAUUCCAAACUCUUCUUAGAUAGUUUAGAUUUUUUUGACAAAGCCUUUCAACCUUGCAAAUACUCAAAUCAAGAAAACUUGAACAAUAAGUGAAAAAUUGAAAUUUCCUAAUUUCUUUAAAAAUUAAAUCAGUUAUAAUUAAUAUUUUAUUUAAAGGUCUACAGGAAGGUAGACUUGCGCUCUGAUACUAUACUGUAACGCCCCAAAUUUUUAUUGAUUUAAAUUUUGAGAUAUUACCAAUAUUAUUUCAUAAUCAUACAUCAAGUGAAAAUAUAAAUUGAAAAUUUAAAACUCUUAAUUCAUUUAAAUACUCAAAUACUGAAUUAAAUAGAAGUAUAAAUUUAUAUUUUUAACUAAAACUGAUGGGUAUGAAAGAAGUUGGCGUUGACAAGUGAUAUAAAUAGGCAUACAGUCUCCUAGUGAAAAAGAAAUUAAUAAUCUUUUAGCAUGCUGAUUAAAUUGAUCUAAAAAAUUGGUGAUAAGCCUAAAUUCAUUGAAAAGCAGAUUUUACUAUUGCAGAAAAUAAAUAUGAGUAAAUUAAAGGCCAUCAAACAGCUGCUAAAAGAAAAAAAAAAUAGAAAACUAAUUGCAGCUAUAGUCUCAAAUUUAAAAAAAAAUUACAAAUGGUUCACAAAUAUAUAAUUAAAUAUAAAAACAAGAAAAAAAUUACUUCAUCUUCUUCCUUCUUUCUCCUAAAUUGAUGACAUUUCAAGGCACAUGAGGAUAAGAAAAAUUCAAUAGAAAUCACAAGGCACACAAAUAUAAGCAAAACUUGACACAAAAUUAAGCCGUUCUUUAAAUAGUUUGAAUAGUUAAUUAGCAUAAUUACGGGAACUUAAGACAAUGAAAUCAUCUUUUGAUGGUUCAUUUUCACAUGAAGACACGUAAUUUCUGAAAUCGAUAUAAAGAAGCACAAAUCUAGCACCAUAAGCAAAUUGAAAAGUGGGGCCGUUUCGAGCCCAAAAAUAUUCCCGGAAUCAAAAAUCAUAGGGAUUUAUCUCAAACUAUAGAAAAACAAUCAAUAACAAACAACCGAGACAAACCCACUUUGAUUCUCACAACAGAAUCAAAAUUAAAACAGGAAAAAUCAAGACUUGCACUCAAAAACAAAAAAAAGGAGAAGAGAGAAAGUGGAUAAAAGUACCUCAAUAAUUAGUAGACGUCGAGUCUUGAGAAAACAAACGAAAAUACAAAUUUGGAUUCUCUAAAAGCAAUUUUCUUUUUACGUAAUUAAGCUUUAUUUUUAUUUAUUUAUUUUUCCUUUUGAGCUAUAUUUUUAUUUGGAGGAUUUUUUUUCUCUUUUUGGUGACUGCUUGGGCAUGCUUGAGAGUUCUGGACACCGAAUACAUGGUUUUUUAAGGGGCAAUCACAUGUGAGGAGGUGGAUAAAUGAAAAUCAUGAUAAAAGCCAAAUUAAAUUAGUAUAAAUUUAAAAGAUGGAUUAAUUAAAAAUUUAUUUAACAAUAAUUUAUUUGGUCGAUUCUAACUUAGUUCGAUCUUAUUCAAAAUAAAUUUUUCUCGAAUUUAAUAUACAUAAUUAAUGACAACCUAUCAAACGAGUCUAAUAUUAUUAUGGUAAUAUGAUUUAAUUUAAAAAGCAAUAUUACACAUUCAAUAGUUUAGUUUAAUAAGUUAUAUUUUGAAUUUGAUUUAUCCAAAAUAAAAUUUUUCAUGGGUCCAUAAUGUCCAUAAUAUGAUUUAUCGAAAAUAACUUGAAUUCACUUUUUUAUCUUUUGAAUCGUACCAAGUCUUUGUUUAAGCUAUAAAUAUAAAUAUUUAAGUAUUUUUACGCAUGUUAAAUUUUUUUACAUUUAAGGGCCUCAUAAUAAUGAGUCGCUUAGAGUCUCAAAAUUCUCAAGACCUGCUCCGGAGGGUAUGUUCGUCAUUUCAUAGUUUUUAAUUGAGAAAAUAGAUGAAAAUGAUGAUUUUCAUAAUAAAAGGUGGAAAUACUAGUGAAAAUGCCAGAAAAAUGGAAGGUACAGAUGUCUUGCAUAGUAAUAUUUAAAGGUAGGGACGUUUUGUGCUAGUCAUCCCUUUUUUAGACUGAUGAUUUCUGUUGCUUGUGAGUAAUCUAAUUUUGGUUGAUUUUUAAAACAAUCCGGCUUAUGUCUGGAAGCACUUAUUAACCAAUGAUUUUAAAAGUGUAUAUAUAUGCCCUUAAUAAAUUUUUAAAUUUAUAUAUAUAAAUUUUUUAUUCAUAAGUGAUAUUUUACCUAAAAGUGAUUUUUUAUAUGUAAGUUAAUUCUUAACUUAAAAGUGAAAUAUUUAUAUUAUACUUCUAAAUAUUUUUUGAUACAUAAGUAAAUUUUUUUACUUAUAAGUAACAUUUUAUAUUUUAAAGAGAAUUUUGUCUUAUUAAUAGUAUUUUUUUUUACUUUCUAAGCAUUUUGAUGCAAAAUUGAAUAUUAAUCUUACAAGUAAUUUUUCACUUAUAAGUAAAUUUUUAAUGAUAAUGUAAUUUUUUAGUUUUUGUCCUUUUAUUUACUAGUUAUUUUAAACAAAAUAUGUGGAUUGAGAAUAAUUAUUUUAUAGAUAGUAAAAUUGGAAGAAAAUUUGAGUAACUAUUUUGGCAUCCAACUUUAAUUUACUCGAAAGUAAUCGACAAUUUAAACACUAAUGUUGAUUUUCCAAAUGAGGACACAAUCUCCCAGUACUACAUAAGUUGAAAAUCAAAACCUAACGUUUGAAGAUUGUAGAGUCACUUUCACACUUCUUGAGAAGUUGGGGAGCUCAUCCCAAAUUCCCCCUCCCGCAAAAUGGAAAAUUGAGGAUGAUAUACCCAACCUUUCACAUGGUUAUGGAUCUUAAACCUUUAUAAGUGUUGUACUAGAUAUUUAAUCCAUUUGAAUAUGCGAUUUUGGUUCCCUACAUGAUCAAAAUCAUCAAUAUCAACUUCAGAAUUACAAUCGACUUUCUCCGACUUAAAAUUGGAGGACAAAAUUGUCAAACUACUUAAUAUUUCUCCACAAAUCAACAGAAUUUUUUUUGUGAUUUUAACUUUCAUAUUAACGAUUUUCAUUAUGCGAGACUCCAUAUUUGCAUAGUUAAAAUUAAGUAAUUGUUCAUAAAACUUUUUUCAAGAUAUUGUACUUUAGCCUUAAAAGUCCAAAACAUAAGUAAAAGAAGUGAACUACAAGGAAAUUUCAAGGUAUCAACCAAUCUGAUAAGGGAUGGUUUAUGUACUUUUAUAAUUAUUUAUUUAUUUUAUUUUAUUUUUAGCUUAAAAAAGAAACUUAAAAUGGAAAAAUGGGAGUCUGUGAUGUGGACCAUUUAAAUUCCAAACUCUUCUUAGACAGUUUAGAUCUUUUUGACAAAUACUCAAAUUAAGAAAACUCGAACAAUAAGUGGAAAAUAGACAUUUCCAAAUUUCUUUAAAAACUAAAUCAGUUAUAGUUAAUAUUUUAUUUAAAGUUGUACAGGAUGGUAGACCUGUGCUCUGACACCAUACUAUAACGCCCCAAAUUUUAAUGACUUAAAUUUUGAGAUGUUACCGAUAUUAUUUUAUAAUCAUACAUCAAGUGAAAACAUAAGUUGAAAAUUUAAAACUCUUAAUUCAUUUAAAUACUCAAAUACUAAAUUAAAUAGAAGUAUAAAUUUAUAUUUUAACUAAAGCUGAUGGGUAUAAAAGAAGAAGUUGGCGUUGACAAGUGAUAUAAAUAGGCAGGCAGUCUCCUGUGAAAAAGAAAUUAAUAAUCUUUUAGCAUGCUGAUUAAAUUGAUCAAAAAAAUUGGUGAUAAGCCUAAAUAUAAUGAAAUUGGGUUUGGCCACGUAUAAUAACAUUUGGAAUUAAACAAUAGAGUUUACAUUAAGUAUAACUAAGAUUUAAAAUCCUUCCGUAUCUCAAUUGUCGUCACCUGUUUGACCAAAGAGAAUAAUUCCUUUAAAACAUGUCAUUUAAUCAUAACUUUCUUUGAUCGGCCAUGACUUGAUUCGCUUUUAUCUAAAUUAAUUUUUUAUCAAGCCUAAUAUACAUAAUUAAAUAUUAACUACCCAAAGAGCCAAUAUUGAUAUACUAAACUUCACUCUAUAAAAAUCUAAUUUUUGACCCAAUUAAAAUAUUAAUUAAAAAACCUAUUUCAUCUUGGUCCUCAUUUUUAUAAAAAAAAAUAUAGCAGUAUAACAAAUCAUAUAAAUAAGUUUUAUAUUAAAAUUUCCGGGAUGUUACAAUUCUUCUUCUGAAGCUAUAGUGAAGAAGGGUAGUGACAGUUUCUAAUCCUACAGUUAAGUUUGGUUUUGGCAUUUUUAUGAUAUGUUAGAAAUAAAUCAAAUUGUGAAGAGUUCUAGUUAGUUUCUACUCCAACAGUUAAGUUUAGUUAUGGCAUAUUUAUGAUAAAUCAGAAAUAGAUCAAAAUAGUUCUAGUUAGUUUCUACUCCAAUGGUUAAGUUUAGUUCUGCCAUAUUUAUGAUAUUUAGAAAUAUAUUGAAUUGUGAAGAGUUCUAGUUAGUUUCUACUCCAACUGUUAAGUUUACUUAAGCUCUAGUUAGGUUCUACUCCAACGGUUAAGUUUAGUUCUGGCAUAUUUACGAUAAAUUAGAACUAUAUUGAAUUGCAAAGAGUUCUAGUUAGUUUAUACUCCAACGGUUAAGUUUAGUUGUGACAUAUUUAUGAUAAAUUAAAAAUAGUUCGAAUUGUGAAGAGUUCUAGUUAGUUUCUACUCCAACGAUCAAGUUUAGUUGUGGCAUAUUUAUGAUAAAUUAGAAAUAGAUCGAAUUGCAAAGAGUUCUUGUUAAUUUCUGCUCCAAAGGUUAAGUUUAGUUGUGGCAUAUUUAUGAUAAAUUAGAAAUAGAUUAAAUUGCGAACACUUCUAGUCCGUUUCGGCUCCAACGGUUAGGUUUAGUUUUAGUAUAUUAUGAUAAAUUAUAGAUGGAUCAAACUGUGACGAGCUCUAGUCGGUUUCUGCUCCAACGGUUAAGUUUAGUUUCGGCAUUUAUAUGAUACAUUAGAGAGAGAUCAAAAUGUAAAGAGUUCUAGUUUAUUCUUAAGCCUUCUUUUGGGCAAUCCAAACUCACUGUCAUAGUUCAAGUGGAAGUGACAUAAUUAGGAGUGAUAUUACUGGUUUUGCCAGUUAGUUUACAAAAUAUAUGUGUGUUUUAAGAAAUUGGUCGCAAACACUAUUCUUUAGUAUCUUGUUUCGAUUACAUCUAAACAACUUAUUAAACAAUUUGUUAAAAGAAAAUGACGCGACAACCUAUAUGGCACAAAUGCAUAGGUGUGGAUGCAUCUCCUGUUUGAUGUAGCUUACAAUUAGAUUUUUAGUAAAAUUUGAUAAAAGUUGAUAAAAUAUGUGAUUAAAGAGUUGAUAAAAUUGUGGUAUUAUAAAAUGUGUUGUUAAAAUUAAUUGUUAAUUUUAACUCUGAAUUUUUAUCAACAUUUUAAGCUAUGCAAUAUAGAGGCGAGAAUACUUCGAUUUUGAACUAAACAUUUAAUGUAGUUUUUUCAAAAAUAUAUUGUUGUGAAAAGUGACUUUGUAGAAGAUUGUAUUGCUAAAAAGUAUGUAAAACCAUUAGUUCAUAUGUAAAAUUCUUUAACUAAAAAAAAAAAAUAUAGGAUUGAAAAUAAAUUUGAAUUAUUAUUAUUUUUUUUGAAAGAAUAUGUACCAAAACAUGUGCAAGUCUUUUCAAUGGAAAAUGACACAGACCGUACGUUUAUAUUCAUUUAGCGUUUGUUCGGUAGUGAUUAUCACAAUUGAUUUUUUGAUCAUUAGACAGAAAAGUGGGUUCUAUCUGUAAGAGAAGAAGUAAAAUGUGAUGGCUGACUUAAGGGAAGUAAUGGUCAAAAAACUUAUUUUUUUGGUGAAAAAUAAAACCCAAACAUACACAUAAUAUUUCUUCACUUUCGAUGUUUGUACAGUUUAAUGAUCAAAACUAGUACUAAAAUAAUGUGGUCAUAUAAUUUCUACAUGCUAUUCAUUGGUAGGGCAUUUCUUCCUGUGACUGCUUUUCCUACCAAAAAGAUAACCUGGAAUACUCGGAGAGAAAAGGGAAUGAUCCCAAAAGGGAAGUCUUUCUUUCUGGUUACGAAAUCACUUAGAUUGAAAAGCAAGUCGAUGAUGGUUAGUUUGUUGAUUUGUAAUUCACAUAAUUUUGAUAAAAAAAAUUUAUGCAUACCAAUUGGAAAUGUAGGGCAUAUAUAUGUCUGAUGUGAAUUAUUAAGAAUAAAUUCUGUAAAAGUGAUUUUUACAAAAAAAAAAAUAUAUAUAUAUAUAAAUAAAUAAAAAAGGGGAAAAAAUAUGAAUCUAUAUUUAAAAAAAAAAUUUAUUUUAUUGAAAAAUAUGGUAAAAAUGAGUUUUGAAGAAUAUGUACCAAAUAAGGAUAUAAUGAUAUUUUUAUCAAUUUAAAAGACAUAGGAACUGAAUUGGCAUAAAUUCGAGUUUUGUUAUUAACUGUUGCGCUGUUAUGCAAAUUUCAGGACGAGAUUUGAUGUACACUUCAUAGGGGAAAAAAGGUUGAGCGCUAGUGUAACAAGAAGUAAAUGUUGAUAAAGAAUCGUAUAACCUACCCAAUUAUGUUAUUAUCCUCAUUUUUUUUUAUAUUAAUUGAUUGAUAGUUAAAGAUAUUGCAAUAGCACUUAAAAAAGUUUCAUAUAUUCUAUCACUCUCUGAUUUGACUAACGAGAACGUUUUUUUUUACCUCUAUCCUCACCUAUUUUUUCAGGCAUCGAAAAUGGGAGAGAUUCUUGGGGAGGACGGCAACUCCUCAUUGAAUGGUCGCACUGCUUAUUUCUUUGAAAAUGGGCCAUAAAAGCAAAAGGAACCUAGCACCAAUAUUGGCUAUGUUCAAUUUUGAAUGUUAUGCUACGAAAUAAAAGAGGUGAGUUAAAGUUUAAAAUUUCUCUCAAACAAUACUAAAUUGCACUUUGAGUUCGUCGUAGCUUUUACGAAACUAGUUGAAGCAAGUGAGUUGUUCUAAAAAGAUACAUUUAACAGUAUAGAUAUAAUUAAUUUGUUUAUAUAACUUAUGAUAUUUAUUUAACUUUUAAAUGUUAUUGAAUCAGGGGAUCAGGGUAUCAACAUGUGGAGGGGUAUGGAAUAAAAACUACUUAAAGUGGCAAGUAUCAAGGAAAUGAAGCUACCUCUAAAUAAAUGAAUUCUAAAAUUAAAAUACAUAUUGAAUGACUAAGUUUAAAAUAAAUAAGUUAUUAAUUUUUAAUAAAACUGUUUUUUAGUUCAAUUCACUUUCUAUUGUGUUGGGAAUGAAGAGGCAAGUAUGGCACAAUAUGAAUUAUUGAUUACACAAGCGAGAACAAAAUUAAAGCAACAAGAGAUUGUCAGAAAAAUUGAGUAAUUUUAUUAAUUGACAAUCAAUGGAGAGAAAAUAUAAUUUCAGCAAUGCGUAAACUGAAAGAAGAGUUAAAUAUAUAGGGACAAUCCAAACCCUAGAAGUAGAGUUGUUGGUUAAUAGAAUGUUCAAUGGUUUCCUUAUCUUGAUCUUUUUAAGUUUAACACAAAUUUCAACUCCCAAUAGGGCUUUCAAAUAAAACUCCAACUAGAAUUUGCUAAUAGACUUUGAUUAGUAUUCCAAAAGCAUUACAAAUAGAAAUCUCCUUAAUCUACGCUUUAAUUAGCUCUCAUUUCUCUUCAUCGAUGAAUUUGAGUCACACCAAAAUUCGAAGAAUUUCCAGGUUAACAAAAAUUCUGGUGCAACGAACGAAACUCCAAAAUUUCUUCACCUGAAAAAAUAAAUUCGACCGCAACGAAAUAAACUAAAAUUUUCAACUAGAACCAAACUUCUUCACCUCACGAAAAUUACUCUUACUCUUCCAUAGUAUCCACAAAUGAUACCCGAACCGAAAUAUCGGGUUCCCAAAAUUCCCACAAGGAAUUCAAAAAUUAUCAAACAGUGUAGAAGCACACCCUGUAAUAGAAUCAACUUAAAUACUUUAAUUGAAGGCCCUUGAUAAUCUCAACACCUUCAAAACCUCAAAAGGCAUAUGCAACUAAAUCAGCAUCAUCGUACUCAUUAAGCCCUUCCUUGGCAGUAGAACACAAUGACACUACAAAUAAUGGUGGCAAAGUGGAGUUACCCAUAUCAUCCUAACAGAGUAGUGUUCUUCAAUAAUGACCUAGAGCCAACUCCCUAAGGUACAAUACCAAAUUGUAUAUCCACCAUGGUACUAAACAUGUGGUGAUGAUUCUUUACCAAUUCUGCACGACCUUGCAAGAUGUAUAAUCGGGACCUCCUCCGCCCCUCCAAUAUAACACAACCCUUUCGGGCCUUUAGGACUCCUCCUACUCUAGUGAAUGUUUACUUUUUUGGUUCAAGAGUACUUAACAAAAUGAAAUUCUUCUUUAAAUUUGGAAUAUGUCGAACGUGAUCAAGUGUUUUACAUAUUCCAUUUGAAAACCUCAAUUGGACUCUAUCAAUAUAGCUGCUCGAUAAAGUUCAUUGUUACACAUGGUAACGACACCUUACAUCACCGUUUCAUAUGUUUCAAACAAAUCUCGGUUCGGACACAUAUGGAACGUACAAGCUAAGUCCAAAAUCCACUCGUCAGGUUUUGAUUCCAUGUCAUAAAUCGUCAAGACAUCUCCAUCACUCAAAUAGUCCUCAACUAUGUUGGUCUAGUCCGAAGUGUUUGAUUGCUUCUCGUGAUUUGUAGCCGAAAUACCUUUUAUUCUGCAAUUUUUUGCAAUCUCUUUUAAUGUGUCCUUUCUUCUUGAAAUAAUAGUAAACUUGAUUGUUGAUACUUGACCUUGACUUACCCCUUCGCCAAUCGCCAAUUUCCAUUUAAUGGUGUUAUGAAAAUAUUUAUAAAUUAAUCCAUCUCUUUUAAGCACAUUAAAGAUCUUUAAGCUUUAUUCGUUGUCACAUUUUGGUUGCUAACAUUUUUAUCUCAUACUUAUCAUUAAUUAGAAUAUUUUGUGUUAAUGACGAUUUCACCAAAAAGUUCUAUUUGCGAACUUAUAGAGGGACAAAUAUUUCUCAUAAUUUUGUAGUUUAUAUAUAUAUACUCUUUAACGGACUUCUUUGACAAAAAAAAAACGAAAAAAGAAAAGAAAAGAAAAGAAUGUACUAAUUGGUGGAAGGUGAUGAUAAAAAUGAUAAAAUGAAAUUUCAAAAAGUUAGAAACAUAAAUGCAAUAAUGAACAAGGGUUAUAAACAUUUCAUGCAAUUAAAAUUUGUUGCACUGGUAAUUUUUAUAACGAGGAGUUGACAAAAAUCAGUCAAGUUGGAGCAUCAACCAGUUCCAAUUAUAUCUAAUUAAAUAUAAAAAAUAUAGUACCCAUUUAAUUAUUGUUCUUAUUAUAUAUUUUCAUCUACCUAGACCGAUAUUUUACUAUGGUGUUAGAUAGCAUUAUUCUUUUAAAAAGCAUACAUUAUUCUUUUCUAGAUUCUCUUUAAUCAAACCAAAUGAAAAAUGCAAAAAGUUGAUUCUUGAUGAGAAAUCUUGAUAGCACUAAUAGUCCCUCGUGAAACGCUCGAAUAAUUUGAUAUCAGUUAUUCCUAUUUAUCUUUAUAUGAGUAGUGGAUUCCCAUAACGAGAGGGACAACAAAAAUGAAGGUCUUCCUUUCUUUAUAUCUAUUUAUCCUCACAUAGAAAGUGGAUUCUCAUAACGAGAGAUACAUCAUGCCUUUCUUUAUCCCUGUUUAUCCUUUUAUACAUAAAGUUAAUUCUUAUGAUGAGAGAGACAAGGGAAUGCAAGUUGUGGAUAAAGCAUAAUAUUCACACAUUCGCCAUUGGUACAUGCAUUUCCAUAUCCUUAUAUAUACAUGAUAUUAUGACAAAGAGGGAUUCGUAGAGUGAGAGAGAUAAGGGAGAACUAGAGGCAUUGAUACAAAGCACAAUGGUAUGUAUUAUAUAUUCUUUCUUGUAUUGAACAUUGAACACAGUUACUUGUACAAUUUUUUUGAUAGUUUCUUUGACAGAUGCUGAAGUGGCAUGCACCUUAGCGCUUGGUUUGAACUUCAUAAAUUCAACCAUUAUGCUACAUGUAUAUCUUUUUUCACAUCAUUUUUGACAUUGUGCCGUGUAGCGACACAUGGUUGGACAGUUUAAAAACACAAUUUCUUGCCCAACGCUUUUUGAAUUCCAACGAAGCGUACACAAACAUCUAAACUAAAGGAUGUACACUUGGCAUUAAUUUAAAUUAAAAAUAAAGGGCUGAGGUGCAUGCUAUCUCAGCAUCCAUCAAACAUUCUAUCUGUACAAGUAACUUAAUUCUUGAACUUUUAAGUUUGUAUCUAAUUCGUGUGGUUAUAAUUAAAACUAAAAAUGUUAUUUCUAUUUAAUUAAAAAAUAUAGAGACAUUUGUUCUUACAACUGACGAUGGAUUUUGUGUAGAGCAAGAGCAAGUGGAUACCAGCACAGUAGCUUAUUAUUCAUAAAGAGAAAGAAGGGUGGUUAUCGACUCAUCCUCUAGGCUGCACAAUAUUUUCUCUCUCUCUCUCUCUCCCUCUCUCUCAAUAUGAUGAUCAUUACUUUUCCUUUUAUCUAAUUAAGUAAAUAAGGUUAUCCCAUCUCUAACAAUAUAGAUGAGGUGGUUUAUGUACAUGUACAAAUGCUUAUUCAUACAAUGAUAAACAAUCUGUAAAUUUCAUUGAAGAUGAUGAUGAGCAAUUUAUAUGUUGGUUGCAUAUAUGUGUAGCACUGUGGUGGUCGAGCUUCGAAAUACGACUUUGCUGGACAUUGGUGGGAAGAUAGAUGCAAAAAACUUGGUUAAAAAUACACGUUAUAAUGCCUAUCUUGUGUUCAAGCUCAAAGAAGGGUCGAAGGGCCUAGAGCGAGCCAAAGCAACAGUUAGGUUUGCUAAGGACAUAGCUCCAAGAAUAGAUCAUCAGGCUACCGAUGUAUUCCUCGUCAAUAAAACAGGAGCUGAUGUUGGACACGUUCCAUGACCUCUGAACUAUGGGUGGAAAGAUAUUAAACUUGGAGAUUUCACCCUUGGCGAGGAAGAUAAAGGUCAGGUAGAAAUGCGACUCUUUGAGAAGGAGGAAUGCAAUCCGAAGCCUGGUCUUAUCGUCAAAGGAAUUGAAGUUCGUCCAAAUUGAAUAGAACAAGUAUUUGUCCUAAUAUGAUGCUCUACUAUCAUAAAUAAACCUGACAAGUGCUAUUUCACAUGUGUUUUUCCAUGGUUUUCUCGUUGAUAAAAAACUUGUUUAGGUACUGAACUAGUAUGAUAGCUUCUAUUUAUUCAUCGAUCUUUUGCAUUCUCUUUCGGAGUUUUGGGUGCCCAUUACGGGGACUUUUUUAAAAGGUAAUUAGCACAAAAUGUUAAUGCCUUUCAAUAUUAUCGUGCAAAAACGUCCAUACCGUUCAUUUUUUGUCAUUUUCACCAUUAUUUGCACUUUUCAUUGCGAAAAUCAUCAUUUUCAUCUACUUUCUCAAUUAAAAACCGUGAAAUGAUGAAUAUAACCUCUUAUCUAAAUAAGGCCCCGUUUGACUCCAUUGAAAAUCCCUUACUUUACGCAGCAAAUUUUUUAGCACAGUAAAAUCAUUAAUUAACAUUUGAAAAAGCAACUGAUUGGUUGAACAAAAGUCAAACAUCCGCCCAUUUAAAAUAUUAAUUUCCCUCUUUGACCCUCUUUGCCUUAGUUUGUCAUUGAAAAUUCCUUAUGUUAGGGGCAAAAUUGGAAGGUACAUAUCAUAACAUUAAAAAACAAUUCUUUUUGUCUUACAUGAAUUCAUUGAAAAGCGGAUUUUACUGUUGCAGAAAAUAAAUUUGAGUAAAAUUAAGACCGUCAAAUAGCCGCUAAAAGAAAAGAAAAAGUAGAAAACUAAUUGCAACUAUAGUCUCAUAUUUUCAAAAAAUUACAAAUGGGUCACAAAUAUAUAAUUAAAUAUAAAAACAAAAAAAAAAUUUACUUCAUCUUCUUCCUCCUUUAUGCUAAAUAGAUGACAUCGCAAGGCACAUGAGGAUAAGAAAAAUUCAAUAGAAAUCACGUGGCACACAAAUAUAAGCAAAACUUUACACAAAAUUAGGCCGUUCUUUAACUAGUUUGAAUAGUUAAUUAGCAUAAUUAUGGAACUUAAGACAAAGAAAUCAUCUUUUGAUGGAUCAUUAUCACAUGAAGACGCCCAAUUUCUGAAAUCGAUAUACAGAAGCACAAAUCUAGCGCCAUAAGCAAAUGGAAAGGGGGGGGCGUUUUGAGCACAAAAAUAUUCCCGAAAUUGAAAAUCACGGAGAGUUAUGUCAAACUACAAAAAAACAAUCAAUAACAAACAAUUGAGACAAACCCACUUCGAUUCUCACAACAGAAUCAAAAUUAAAACAGGAAAAUCAAGACUUGCACUCAAAAACAAAAAGGGAAAAGAGAGAAAGUGGAUAAAAGUACCUCAAUAAUUAGUAGACUUCGAGUUUUGAAAAACAAACGAAAACACAAUUUUUGGAAUCUCAAAAACCAAUUUUCUUUUUUCGAAAUCAAGCUUUAUUUUUAAUUAUUUUUUCCUUUUGAGCUAUAUUUUUAUUUGGAGGAUAUAUUUUCUCUUUUUUGUGACUGCUUGAGAGUUCUGGACACCGAUUACAUGGUUUUUUAAAGGGUAAUCACAUGUGAUGAGGUGGAUAACGGUGGAGAAAGGAGGAAGAAGAUGAAGUGAUUUUUUUUUUUAAUUAUAUAUUGGUGACUUGUUCAUAAUUUUUUGAAAUUUUGGAAUCAUUGUUGUAAUUAGUUUUUAUUCUUUUCUUUUCUUUUCUUUUUGUUUUAUUUAAAUAGGAAGGUAUCAAGACUGACUCUAAGCCAAGGCCAACUAGGCAAUGGCUUAGGGCCUCACAUCUAAUGGGGGCCUCCAAAUGAAAACCAUGAUGAAAGCCCAAUUAAAUUAGUAUGAAUUUAAAAGAUGGAUUAAUUAAAAAUUCAUUUGGUUGAUUCUAACUUAGUUCGAUCUUAUUCAAAAUAAAGUUUUCUCAAAUUUAAUAUACGUAGUUAAUUACAAGCUAUCAAACGAGUCUAAUAUUAUUAUGGUAAUAUGAUUUAAUUUAAAAAGCAAUAUUACACGUUCAGUAGUUUACUUUAAUAAGUUAUAAUUUGAAUUUUAAUAAGUUAUUCAUAAGUGAUAUUUUGCCUAAAAGUGAUUUUUUAUAUGUAAGUUAAUUCUUAACUUAAAAGUGAAAUAUUUAUAUUAUACUUCUAAAUAUUUUUUGAUACAUAAGUAAAUUUUUAUAAGUAACAUUUUAUAUUUUAAAGCGAAUUUUAUCUUAUUAAUAGUAUUUUUACUUUCUAAGCAUUUUGAUGCAAAAUUGAAUAUUUAUCUUGUAAGUAAUUUUUCACUUAUGAGUAAAUUUUUAAUGACAAGGCAAUUUUUUAGUUUUUGUAGUUUUAUUUACAAGUUAUUUUAAACAAAAUAUGUGGACUGAGAAUAAUUAUUUUAUAGAUAGUAAAAUUGGAGGAAAAUUUGAAUAACCAUUUUGGCAUCCAACUCUAAUUUACUUGAAAGUCAUCGACAAUUUAAACACUAACAUUGAUUUCCCACAUGGGGACACAAUCUCCCAGUACUACAUAAGUUGAAAAUCAAAACCUAACGUUUGAAGAUUGUAGAGUCACUUUUCACACUACUUGAGAAGUUGGGGAGCUCAUCCCAAAUUCCCUCUCACCCCAAAAUGGAAAAUUGAGGAUGAUAUACCCAACCUUUCACAUGGUUAUGGAUCUUAUCCAUUUGAAUAUGUGAUUUUGGUUCCCUACGUGAUCAGAAUCAUCAAUAUUAACUUCGGAAUUAUAAUUGACUUUCUUCGACUUAAAAUUGGAGGACAAAAUUGUCAAAUUACUUAAUAUUUCUCUACAAAUCAACUGAAAAUUUUGUGAGAUUUUAACUUUCAAAUUAACGAUUUUCAUUAUGUGAGACUCCAUAUUUGCAUAGUUAAAAUUAAGUAAUUGUUGAUAAAAAAUAUUUUCAAGAUAUUAUAGUUUAGCCUUAAAAGUCCAAAAAGUGAGUAAAAGAAGUGAACUACAGGGAAAUUUCAAGGUAACAACCAAUCUCAGAAGGGAUGGUUUAUGUACUUUUAUAAUUUUUUUUAGCUUAAAAAAGAAACUUAAAAUGGAAAAAUGGGAGUCAGUGAUCCUUUUUCCAAAAGAAAUAUGGAAUGUUGUCUCUGUGUGUGUGUGUGUCUAUAUAUAUAUAUAUAUAUAUAUAUAUAUAUAUAUAUAUAUAAAAUGAAAAUUUCAAUUUAUAUAUAUAAAUUUUUUAUUCAUAAGUGAUAUUUUGCCUAAAAGUGAUUUUUUAUAUGUAAGUUAAUUCUUAACUUAAAAGUGAAAUAUUUAUAUUAUACUUCUAAAUAUUUUUUGAUACAUAAGUAAAUUUUUUAUUUAUAAGUAACAUUAUAUAUUUUAAAGAGAAUUUUAUCUUAUUAAUAGUAUUUUUACUUUCUAAGCAUUUCGAUGCAAAAUUGAAUAUUUAUCUUGUAAGUAAUUUUUCACUUAUGAGUAAAUUUUUAAUGACAAGGCAAUUUUUUAGUUUUUGCAUUUUUAUUUACAAGUUAUUUUAAACAAAAUAUGUGGACUGAGAAUAAUUAUUUUAUAGAUAGUAAAAUUGGAGGAAAAUUUGAAUAACCAUUUUGGCAUCCAACUCUAAUUUACUUGAAAGUCAUCGACAAUUUAAACACUAACGUUGAUUUCCCACAUGGGGACACAAUCUCCCAGUACUACAUAAGUUGAAAAUCAAAACCUAACGUUUGAAGAUUGUAGAGUCACUUUUCACACUACUUGAGAAGUUGGGGAGCUCAUCCCAAAUUCCCCCUCACCCCAAAAUGGAAAAUUGAGGAUGAUACACCCAACCUUUCACAUGGUUAUGGAUCUUAUCCAUUUGAAUAUGUGAUUUUGGUUUCCUACGUGAUCAGAAUCAUCAAUAUUAACUUCGGAAUUAUAAUUGACUUUCUUCGACUUAAAAUUGGAGGACAAAAUUGUCAAAUUACUUAAUAUUUCUCUACAAAUCAACUGAAAAUUUUGUGCGAUUUUAGCUUUCAAAUUAACGAUUUUCAUUAUGUGAGACUCCAUAUUUGCAUAGUUAAAAUUAAGUAAUUGUUGAUAAAAAAUAUUUUCAAGAUAUUAUAGUUUAGCCUUAAAAGUCCAAAAAGUGAGUCAAAGAACUACAGGGAAAUUUCAAGGUAACAACCAAUCUCAUAAGGGAUGGUUUAUGUACUUUUAUAAAAAAAAUUUAGCUUAAAAAGGAAACUUAAAAUGGAAAAAUGGGAGUCAGUGAUCCUUUUUCCAAAAGAAAUAUGGAAUGUUGUCUAUGUGUGUGUGUGUGUCUAUAUAUAUAUAUAGAAGUUUCUUAAAAUAGGAUUUUUUUUUAAAAAAAAAUUUAGAAUGGUCCGAAAUAUUGCCUUUUGUCUUACUAAUUAGAAUAACGCGCAAUCAAAAGGCUUCCAGACGAGGAGGGGGUCACAAGUGGACUUUUUAAAUCUCAAACUUUUCUUAGACAAUUUAGAUCUUUUUGAAAAAGCUCUUCAACCUUGCGAAUGCUCAAAUCAAGAAAACUCGAACAAUAAGUGGAAAAUAGACAUUUCCUAAUUUCUUUAAAAAUUAAAUCAGUUAUAAUUAAUAUUUUAUUUAAAGGUCUAUAGGAAGGUAGACCUGUGCUCUGAUGCCGUGCUGUAACGCCCCAAAUUUUAUUGACUUAAAUUUUGAGAUGUUACCGAUAUUAUUUUAUAAUCAUACAUCAAGUUAAAAUAUAAAUUUAAAAUUUAAAAUUCUUAAUUCAUUUAAAUACUCAAAUACUAAAUUAAAUAAAAGUAUAAAUUUAUAUUUUUAACUAAAGCUGAUGGGUAUGAAAGAAGAAGUUGGCGUUGACAAGUGAUAUAAAUAGGCAUACAGUCUCCUAGUGAAAAAGAAAUUAAUAAUCUUUUAGCAUGCUGAUUAAAUUGAUCAAAAAAAUUGGUGAUAAGCCUAAAUAUAAUGAAAUUGGGUUUGGCAAUGUAUAAUAACAUUAGGAAUUAAACAAUAGAGUCUAGACUAAGUAUAACUAAGAUUUAAAAUCCUUCCUUAUCUCAAUUGUCGCCACCUGUUUAACCAAAGAGAAUAAUUCCUUUAAAAUAUUUCAUUUAAUCAUAACUUUCUUUGGUCCGCCAUACUUGAUUCGUUUUUAUCUAAAUUUAAUUUUUAUCAAGCCUAAUAUACAUAAUUAAAUACUAAUUACCCAAAGAUCCCAAUAUUGGUAUACUAAACCUCACUCUAUAAAAAUCUAAUUUUUGACACAAUAAAAAUAUAAAUUCAAAAACCUAUUUAAUCUUGGUCCUCAUUUUUUUUUAAAUAUAACAAUAUAACAAAUUAUAUAAAUAAGUUUUACAUUAAAAUUUUCGGGAUGUUACAAUUCUUCUUCUGAAGCUUACGGUGAAGAAGGGUAAUCAUAGUUUCUAAUCCAACAGUUAAGUUUGGUUUUGGCAUUUAUGAUAUAUUAGAAAUAAAUCAAAUUGUGAAGUGUUCUAAUUAGUUUCUACUCCAACAGUUAAGAUAAAUCAGAAAUAGAUCAAAUUGCGAAUAGUUCUAGUUAGUUUCUACUCCAAUGGUUAAGUUUAGUUCUGCCAUAUUUAUGAUAUAUUAGAAAUAUGUCGAAUUACGAAGAGUUCUAGUUAGUUUCUACUCUAACGGUUAAGUUUAGUUCUGGCAUAUUUACGAUAAAUUAGAAUUAGAUUGAAUUGCAAAGAGUUGUAGUUAGUUUAUACUCCAAAAGUUAAGUUUAGUUGUGACAUAUUUAUGAUAAAUUAAAAAUAGUUCGAAUUGUGAAGAGUUCUAGUUAGUUUCUACUCCAACGAUCAAGUUUAGUUGUGGCAUAUUUAUGAUAAAUUAGAAAUAGAUCGAAUUGCAAACAGUUCUUGUUAAUUUCUACUCCAAAGGUUAAGUUUAGUUGUGGCAUAUUUAUGAUAAAUUAGAAAUAGAUUAAAUUGCGAACACUUCUAGUCAGUUUCGGUUCCAACGGUUAGGUUUAGUUUUAGUAUAUUAUGACAAAUUAUAGACGGAUCAAAUUGUGAAGAGUUCUAGUCGGUUUCUGCUCCAAUGGUUAUGUUUAGCUUCGGCAUUUAUAUGACACAUUAGAAAGAGAUCAAAAUGUAAAGAGUUCUAGUUUAUUCUUAAGCCUUCUUUUGGGCAAUCCAAACUCACUGUCAUAGUUCAAGUGGAAGUGACAUAAUUAGGAGUGAUAUUACUGGUUUUGCCAGUUAGUUUACAAUCAGAGUUUUUGUAAAAUUUGAUAAAAGUUGAUAAAAUAUGUGAUUAAAGAGUUGAUAAAAUUGUGGUAUUAUAAAAUGUGUUGUUAAAGUUAAUUGUUAAUUUUAACUUUGAAUUUUUAUCAACAUUUUAAGCUAUGCAAUAUAGAGGCCAGAAUACCCGAUUUUGAACUAAACAUUUAAUGUUGUUUUUUCAAAAAUAUAUUUUGUGAAAAGUGAGUUUGUAGUAGAUUGUAUUGUUAAAAAGAAUGUAAAACCAUAAGUUCAUAUGUAAAAUUCUUUAAUUAAAAAAUAAAAUAAAAUAUAGGAUCGAAAAUAAAUUUGAAUUUUUUUUUUUGAAAGAAUAUGUACCAAAACAUGUGCUAAGUAAACCUUGCAAGUCUUUUCAAUGGAAAAUGACGUAGACUGUACGUUUAUAUUCAUUUAGUGCUUGUUCGGCGGUGAUUAUGAGAAUUGAUUUUUUUAUCGUUAGAGAGAAAUGUGGGUCCUACCUGUUAGAGAAAAAGUAAAAAUGAUGGCUGACUUAAGGAAAGUAACAGUCAAAAAACUGAUCUUUUUGGGUGAAAAAUCAGACCCAAACAUACGCAUAAUAUUUCUUCAGUUUCGAUGUUUAUACAGUUUAAUGAUCAAAACUAGCACUAAAAUAAUGUGGUCAUAUAAUUUCUGCAUGCUAUUCGUUGGUAGGGCAUUUCUUCCUGUGACUGCUUUUCCUACCAAAUAGAUAACCUGGAAUACUCGGAGAGAAAAGGGAAUGAUCCCAAAAGGGAAGUCUUUCUUUCUGGUUACAAAAUCGCUUAGAUUGAAAAGCAAGUUGAUGAUGGUUAGUUUGUUGAUUUACAAUUCACAUAAUUUUGAUAAAAAAAAAUUUAUGCAUAUCGAUUGGAAAUAUAGGGCACAUGUCUGAUGUAAAUUUUUAAGAGUAAAUUCUGUAAAAGUGAUUUUUACAAAAAACAAAAAAAAAAAUAAUAAUAAAUAAAUAAAAGGGAAAAAAUAUGAAUCUAUAUUUUAAAAAAAUUAUUUUAUUAGAAAAUAUGGUUAAAAUGAGUUUUGAAGAAUAUGUACCAAAUAAGGAUAUAAUGUUAUUUUUAUCAAUUUAAAAGACAUAGGAACUGAAUUGGCAAAAAUUCGAGUUGUGUUAUUAACCGUUGCGCUUUUAUGCAAAUUUCAGGACUAGAUUUGAUGUACACUAUAUUGGGGAAAAAAAGGUUGAGCCCUGGUGUAACAAGAAGUAAAUGUUGAGAAAGAAUCGUUUAACCUACCCAAUUAUGUUACUAUCCUUAUUUGACUAACGAGAACAUUUUUUUACCUCUAUCCUCACCUAUUUUUUCAGGCAUCGAAAAUGGAAGAGAUAAUUGAACGGUCGCACUGCUUAUUUCUUUGAAAAUGGGACACAAAAGCCAAAGGAACCUAGCACCAAUAUUGGCUAUGCUCAAUUUUGAAUGUAAUGCUACGAAAUAAAAGAGAUGACUUAAAGUUUAAAAUUUCUCUCAAACAAUAAUAAAUUGCACUUUGAGUUUGUCGUCGCUUUUACGAAACUAGUCGAAGCAAGUGAGUUGCUCUAAAAAGAUACAUUUAACAGUAUAGAUAUAAUUAAUUUGUUUAUAUAACCUAUGAUAUUUAUUAACUUUUAAAUGUUAUUGAAUCAGAGGAUUAGGGUAUCAGCACGUGUUGAGGGCUAUGGAGUAAAAACUACUUAGUGGCAAGUAUCAAGGAAAUGAAGCUACCUCUAAAUAAAUGAAUUCUAACAUUAAAAUAUAUAUUGAAUGACUAAGUUUAAAAUAAAUAAGUUAUUAAUUUUUAAUAAAACUGUUUUUUAGUUCAAUUCACUUUCUAUUGUGUUGGGAACGAAGAGGCAAGUAUGGCAUAAUAUGAAUUAUUGAUUACACAAGCAGGAACAAGAUUAAAGCAAUAAGAGAUUGUCAGAAAAAUUGAGUAAUUUUAUUAAUUGACAACCAAUGGGGAGAAAAUACAAUUUCAGCAAUAUAUAAAUUGGAAGAAGAGUUAAAUAUAUAGGGACAAUCCAAGUCCUAGAAGUAGAGUUGUAGAUUAAUAGAAUGUUCAAAAGUUUCCUUAUCUGGAUCUUUUUAAGUCUAAUACAAAUUCCAAUUCCCAAUAGGGCCCUCAAAUAAAACUCCAACUAGAAUUUACUAAUAGACUUCGAAUAGGAUUCCAAAAGCAUUACAAAUAGAAAUCUUCUUGAUGUACGCUUAAAUUAGCUCUUAUUUAUCUUCAUCAACGAAUUCGAGUCACACCAAAAUUCUAGGAAUUUCCAAGUUAACAAGAAUUCUGGUGCAACGAAUGAAACUCCAAAAUUUCUUUACCUGGAAAAAUAAAUGCGACUGCAGCGAAAUAUAUUGAACUUUUCAACUAGAACCAAACUUCUUCAAACGAAAAAUUACUCUUACUCUUCCAUAGUAUCCACAAAUGAUACCCGAACCGAAAUAUCGGGUUCCCGAAAUUCCCAGAAGGAAUUCAAAAAUUGUCAAACAGUGUAGAAGCACACCCUAUAACAGAGUCAACUUAAAUGCUUUAAUUGAAGGCCCCUUGAUAAUCUCGACACCUUCAAAACCUCAAAAAGCAUACGCAACUAGGUCAGCGUUAUUGUACCUAUCCUCAUUAAGCCCUUCCUUAGCAGUAGAACAGGAUGACACUGCAAAUAAUGGCGGCAAAGCGGAGUUGCCCAUAUCCUCCAAAUUUAACCAAGUAGUGUUCCUCAAUAAUGACCAGAGCCAACUCUCAAAGGUACAGUACCAAACUAUAUAUCCACCAUGGUACUAAACAUGUGGUGAUGAUUCUUUACCAAUUCUGCACUACCUUACAAGAUGUAUAAUCAGGACCUCCUCCGCCCCUCCAAUAUAACACAACCCUUUCGGGCCUUUAAGACUCCACCUACUCUAGUGAAUGUGUACUUUUUUGAAUCAAGACUACUUAACAAAAUGAAAUUCUUCUUCCAAUAUAACACAACCCUUUCGGGCCUUUAAGACUCCACCUACUCUAGUGAAUGUGUAAUUUUUUGAAUCAAGAGUACUUAACAAAAUGAAAUUCUUCUUUAAAUUUGGAAUAUGUAGAACGUGAUCAAGUGUUUUACAUGUUCCAUCUAACAACUUCAAUCUGACUCUAUUAAUAUAGCUACUCGAUAAAGUUCAUUGUUACACAUGGUAACGACACCUUACAUCACCGUUUCAUCUGUUUCAAACAAAUCUCGGAUGGGACACAUAUGGAACGUACAAACUAAGUUCGAAAUCCACUCCUCACCACGUCACAAAAUGUCAAGACAUGUCCGUCACUCAAAUAGUCCUCAACUAUGUUGGUCUAGUCCAAAGUGUUUGAUUGCUUCUCGUGAUUUGUAGCUGAAAUACUUUUUAUUCUGCAAUUUUUUGCAAUCUCUUUUAAAGUGUCCUUUCUUCUUGAAAUAAUAGUGAACUUGAUUGUUCAAACUUGACCUUGACUUACCCCUUUGCCAAUCGCCAGUUUCCAUUUAAUGGUAUCACAAAAAUAUUUAUAAAUUAAUCCAUCUAUAUAUAUAUAUGGAAAAAAAAUUGUACCAAUUUGUGGAAGCUUGUUGAUAAAAAUGAGAUUUCAAAAAGUUAGAAACAUAAAUUUAACAAUGAACAAGGGUUAUAAACAUUUCAUGCAAUUAAAAUUUGUUGCACUAGUAAUUGACAAAAAUCGGUCAAGUUGGAACAUCAACCAGUUCCAAUUAUAUCUAAUUAAAUGUAAAAAAAUAUAGUACCUAAUUAAUUAUUGUUCUUAUUAUAUAUUUUCAUCUGCCUAGACCGAUAUUUUGAUAUGGUGCUAGAUAGUAUUAUUCUUUUCAAAAGCAUACAUUAUUCUUUUCUAGAUUCUCUUUAAUCAUACCAAAUGAAAAACGCAAAAAGUUUAUUCUUGAUGAGAAUUCUUGACAGCACUAAUAGUCACUCAUGAAAUGCUUGAAUGAUUUGAUAUAAGUUAUUCCUAUUUAUCCUUAUAUAAGUAGUGGAUUCCCAUAACGAGAGGGACAAGGAAAAUUAAGGUCUUGCCUUUCUUUAUAUCUAUUUAUCCUUAAAUGGAAAGUGGAUUCCCAUAACGAGAGAUACAUGAGAACAACUAGUCAUGCCUUUCUUUAUCUUUGUUUAUCCUUUUAGGCAUAAAGUUAAUUCCUAUGAUGGGAGAGACAAGGGAAAGCAAGUCGUGAAUAAAGCAUAUUAUUCACACAUUCACCAUUGGUGCAUGCAUUUCCAUAUCCUUAUAUAUACAUGAUAUUAUGAUAAAGAGGGAUUCAUAGAGUGAGAGAGAUAAGGGAGAAGCAGAGGCAUUGAUACAAAGCACAAUGGUACGUAUUAUAUAUUCAUUCUUGUAUUGAACUUUGAGCUAUGUUACUUGUAUUGUUUUUUUGACAGCUUCUUUGACAAAUGCUGAAGUGGCAUGCACCUUAGCGCUUGGUUUGAACUUCAUAAAUUCAACAAUUAUGCUACAUGUAUAUCUUUUUUCACAUUAUUUUUGACAUUGUGCCAUGUAGCGACACAUGGUUGGACAAUUUAAAACACAGUUUCUUACCCAACGCUUUUUGAAUUCCAACGGAGUGUACACAAACAUCUAAACUAAAGGAUGUACACUUAGCAUUAAUUUAAAUUCAAAAUAAAGGGUUGAGGUGCAUGCCAUCUCAGCAUCCAUCGAACUUUCUGUCUGUACAAGUAACUUAAUUCUUGAACUUUUAAGUUUGUAUCUAAUUCGUGUAGGUUAUAAUUAAAACUAAAAAAGUUAUUUCUAUUGAAUUAAAGAAUAUAGAGACAUUUGUUAAUACAACUGACAAUCAAUUUUGUGCAGAGCAAGAACAAGUGGAUACCAGCACAGCAGCUUAUUAUUCAUAAAGAGAAAGAAGGGUGGACAUCGCACAAGGUUCUCUCUCUCUCUCAAUAUGUUGAUCAUUACUUUUCCUUUAUCUAAUGAAGUAAAUAAGGUUAUCCCAUCUUUAACUAUAUAGAUGAGGUGGUUUAUGUACAUGUACAAACGCUUAUUCACACAAUGAUAAACAAUCUGUAAAUUUCACUGAAGAAGAUGAUGAGCAAUUUAUAUGUUGAUUGCAUAUAGUGUAGCACCAUGGUGGUUGAGCUUUGAAAUGCGACUUUGCUGGAUACUGGUGGAAAGAUAGAUGCAAAAAACUUGGUAAAAAAUACACGUUAUAAUGCAUAUCUUGUGUUCAAGCUCAAAGAAGGGUCGAAAGGCCUAGAGUGAGCCAAAGCAAUAGUUAGGUUUGCUGAGGACAUAGCUCCAGGAAUAGAUCAUAGGCUACCGAUGUAUUCCUUGUCAGUAAAACAGGAGCUGACGUUGGACACGUUCUGCGAUCUCUAAACUAUGGGUGGAAGGAGAUUUAAUUUGGAGAUUUCAUGCCUAGCGAGGAAGAUAAAGGUCAGGUAGAAAUGCGACUCUUUGAGAAGGAGGAACGCAAUCCGAAGUCUGGUCUUAUCAUCAAAGGAAUUGAAGUUCGUCUGAAUUGAAUAGAACAAGUAUUUGUCCUAAUAUGAUGCUCUACUAUUAUAAAUAAACCUGACAAGUGCUAUUUCACGUGUGUUUCCAUGGUUUUUCCGUGGGUAAAAAACUUGUUUGGGUAUUGAAUUAAUAUGAUAGCUUCUAUUUAGUCAUCGAUCUUUUGCAUCCUCUUUCGGAGUUUUGG
rnacentral:lncRNA from 1 species